GCGCGCGUGUGAGCUCACCCGGGUCACACUUGGCUGCACGUGCGGCAGCGACGCCCCUUCUUCGCCCAUUGCGCGCGCCAAGCCAUGCCACCUGGGCGAGCGCUGCCCGGCGGCUCCCUCUUCUCCCUUCCCCCCCGCCUCGCUCCUUCCCCGCCGCUUGCUGCAGUGUUGGGGGGAGGGCAGAUCUGGAGCAAGAUGGCGUUGCUGUGGCUGCUGCUGCUGCUUCUCCCAGGGUCAGCACUGGAACAGCUCCUUCCUUUGCAUUCCCACUAGCACCGGCAGCUGCCCUGGUGUUCUGCAGCCGCUCUGCAGCCUCCUCUCCUGCCCUGGCGGUUAUCGCUGCAGCCAGUGAUCUCUUUCCCCCCCACCUCCUCGGCGCUCCAGCUUUCUCUUGUUUUGGUGCAAAGCUUUUCCCCCUGUGUGGCAGCCGGAGAGGGGGUGGGGGUGGGGUGGAGAGUGCGCGACUACAUCUCCUCUCACUCCUUUUGCAAGACACUCACUAGGCUGUACCCAUUCUUUGGAGGACGGCACCGAGCCAGGUGCAAUUUUAUUUUGUUUUUUUUGCAGGCAGCUUCUCUUAGCAUCUGUUUUGGCUUGAUUUUGCAACGCCGAACGCCGGGGCCGUUGCGAUUAGAAACAGCAGCCUCAAAUUAUAAAGAAAAGAAAUAUAUACCUAUAUCUAAGCAACUCACUUGCAACUGUGGCCGUUGCAACCCGAACCCCCUUCAUCUUCCCAUGGAGGAUGUAAUCGGCUAAAAAAUACCUGAAGGCGACGCACUGGGAUAAUAACAUGGAGGAAGAGGAGGAGCUGCAGCAGCAUUGAAUUCCCUGGCUGUGCUAUCAAGAGGAAAGGAGAUGGUGAUUUUUUUAAAUGUGGCACCGGCGCAACUUCUGGAGUUGCGAGAGCUUUCAGCCCCCUCCCCUCAUCCCACCGCCUCACCUGCCUAGUGUCUGCCGCUUCUGUCAUUUAAUUUUUUGAUCCACCCCCCCCCCUUUCUCUCUUCUCUGCACCCCCUACAACCCUCCCCCCCUUUUCUGCUUUGCCAUGGGAAUGGUGGCAAAUCUCUUGGCUAUUGUCAUGUCGGCUUCAUUUUUCAACCCCAGCUUUGCCUUCAGUUCGCACUUCGACCCCGACGGCACUCCCUUGAGUGAGCUCUCCUGGUCUUCCUCUCUGGUGGUUGUGGCUGUUUCCUUCUCUGGGCUGUUCACAUUCAUCUUCCUCAUGUUGGCCUGUCUGUGCUGCAAGAAGGGGGGCAUUGGCUUCAAGAGCUGGAGAAGCGAAUCCCGGGAGAAGAGGCUGAGGAUGGUUUUGAGGUGUCUGCCCUGCACGGGGGCCAGCACAGUGCCAAAAACAGCCUGUAAUGUAGAACUGGGGAACCCUGGGCAGCCCUCCCCCUGCCCCCUGACCAAGGAAUUUGAUAAUGCCGAGGGAGAAGAGUAUGCUAGUGAAUUCUCAGCCCAGGGCUCACCCGCUACCCAGAAUGGCCCAGAAGUUUACAUUCUGCCUCUCACCGAAGUCUCCUUGCCCAUGUCCAGGCAACCUGGGCGCUCAGUGCAGCUGCUCAAAUCCACUGACCUGGGACGCCAUAGCCUGCUAUACCUCAAGGAAAUUGGCCAUGGAUGGUUUGGCAAGGUGUUCCUCGGUGAGGUGAAUGCAGGGCUGAGCAGCACACAGGUGGUAGUGAAGGAACUCAAAGCCAGUGCCAGUGUUCAAGAUCAGAUGCAGUUCCUGGAAGAGGCCCAGCCUUACAGGGCACUCCAGCAUACCAAUCUCCUGCAGUGCCUGGCCCAGUGUGCAGAAGUGACGCCCUACCUGCUGGUGAUGGAGUUCUGCCCAUUGGGUGACCUGAAGGGCUACCUGCGGAGCUGCCAUGCGGCCGAGGCACUGGCACUGGACCCUCUCACCUUGCAACGUAUGGCCUGCGAGGUGUCCUGCGGCCUGCUGCAUCUUCACCGCAACAACUACGUGCACAGUGACCUGGCGCUGCGGAACUGCUUACUCACGGCUGACCUGACAGUCAAAAUCGGCGACUACGGCCUCUCUCACUGCAAAUACAAAGAUGACUACUUUGUGACGGCUGACCAACUGUGGGUACCCCUGCGCUGGGUGGCGCCUGAACUCAUCGACGAGGUGCAUGGCAACCUGCUUAUUGUUGACCAGACCAAGACCAGCAAUAUCUGGUCCUUGGGCGUGACCAUCUGGGAGCUCUUUGAGCUGGGCAGCCAGCCCUACUGCCACUACUCGGACCGGCAGGUGCUCACUUACGCCAUCAAGGAGCAGCAGCUUAAACUUCCUAAGCCGCAGCUCCCACUCUCACUGUCUGACCGCUGGUACGAGGUGAUGCAGUUUUGCUGGCUGCAGCCAGAGCAGCGCCCCACUGCUGAGGAGGUGCACCUGCUGCUCUCGUACCUGUGCGCCAAGGGUGCGUCGGAGGCUGAGGAGGAGUUUGAGCGGCGCUGGAACUCCAUGAAGCCUGGCGGCGGCGGCGGUGGAGGAGGCGGCUCGGGCUCGGGCUCCAGCCACGUGGGCGUUGAGCUCUCGUCCUUCCCCCUCCUGGAGCAUUUCUCCAACGAUGGCGACGACGUCCUGACCGUCAUGGAGACGAGCCACGGCCUGAACUUUGAGUACAAGUGGGACCAAGGGAAGACGGAGCACCUGCCGGCCUCGGCCAUGAGCCCUCGCGACGCUGCGCGUUACCACGAGCUCUACUACGCCGCCAGCGGCAGCAGCGGCGGAAGAGGGGACGGCAGGCACCUCAGCCUGGGGGUGUCGCCCUCCUGCUACGAGUGCAAAGUGCAGGGCUGCCCUGGCCUGCACACGCCAGGUGUGGUGCCAGUGCUGAGCGCUCACAGCCCCUCCCUGAACAGCGAGUACUACAUCCGCAUUGAGGAGGCGGCUUCCGAGGGCAGCGGGACGGACCUCGACUACACCAUGUGCUCCUACAGCCCGGAGUUUGGCCGCCCCUCCCACUGGCAAGCCAAGGAGGGCUGCUACGAGUCGAACAGCAGCCCCACCGUCUCGCUCACCAUGGAGCCCCUUCUGGGGCAUUCUGGUGCACAUGGGGACAGCGGCCACUGGGAGCCCCCUGACUACUACUCCUAUGGAGGGCAAGGGGACAAGGAGGCCUCGCCGUACUACGAGGCCUCCCUGAAAGACGGCCCUGAGGACUACCUGCUUGAGGAGCAUGGGGCUUCCGAGUGGCCCGUGGCAGCUCCGCAGAAAAGCAUAUUUGCUGACCCGCUUGGUGUUUCACCCUCGGUGGGCUACGCCUACAAGGAGGAGGCCGCAGUGGCAGACUCGGUCACUCUGGAACUGGGAGAGGAGGAGGAGGAGGAGGAGGAGGAGGAAGAGGAGGAGGAGAACUCGUGUGGCAGCCCUGGGAGCGAAGGGGAUGAGAACAACGGGUCCCCUUCCUCCAGCAAGAACUGGACGUCCAACACCUCCGCCAAUAACAACAGCUGCCACCUGCUGCCGCCGUGUGAGCCACCUGCCAAAGACAGCUGGUGCUACCGCCACAUGAUCACUUUCCAGGGGCUCAUGGCAGAGCCGCUGUGUACUGUACCCCGUGACGGCCCCACGCUAGGCAUCGAGGACUUGCGAGCGGCCCUUUUGGGCGAGGAGCGGGUGGCAUCAUCUCACACGGGCUCCCCCUGCCCAGACACCGACUUGCCUUCAGAGGAACGAGCGUCAGCCGAGGUUGCCAGCGUAGAGAUCGGCGCAGGCGAUGCCACAAAUCCCUUGGCUGAGAGCGGGGUGGAGUGCCUCCUGGCUGCCACCACUCCACCACCACCAGGGGACACGGAUUCAGUGGCGUCAACGCUGGAACCUGUCAACAACACGGACGCAGGGGAUGCCACCGUGCCAGAGGAGGAGGCACUAGGAACUGGGGAAGACCCCGUCGUGGUGGAAGAGGCCUCGGCCGAAUGCUCACCCAAGGUGCCGCGAGAGAUCAACGUGGACAGCGGCAAGAACACCACGACCAGUGAGCAGGACAGGACACCAGACAAGACGGUUUCCAGCGCCAGCUUCCCUGACUUGGAUGAGGCCAGUGACGAGGACACGGCUGAGCUCACAUCCGGGGUCUUCACUGACUUCCCAGUUGAUUGUACCGAGCGGCAGGACGUCAUCGUCACCCUCAAGUCCUUGCAGAAGCAGGUGGAGACCCCUGACUCGCUGGAGUCGCUGGACAUCCCCUCCACCACCAGCUCCUGCGAGGCGUUCAGCCCCACAGCCUACGUGCCCUCGAGCCAGCCUAAAGCCUUAGACAGUGGCUACGACACAGAGAACUACGAGUCGCCUGAAUUUGUCCUGAGGGAGCCUCACGAGCCACGGGAGCCCGAGGCCUUCACCCAGCUAGAAAAGGCACCAGACGGCCCCGAGGGCCCAGCCAAAGAGCUGAGCCUCUCCAGCUCCUUCAGCGCUGAGCUGCAGGGCUUAGAUGAGAAGAACCCUUACCGUGACUCGGCCUACUUCUCUGACUACGAUACCGAAGGGGGGGCUCGGGAGGACGGGGAAGGGGACAGUGAUGGUUCUGAGGGGCACGAGCCAGAGCUCCCCAAGGCGGACGUUGGAGAGUUGGGGAAGGACCCCGCCCAAAAUAGCGCAGGCGAGUCUCGGCCUACUUUCCUUGAGCCCAUUUGCCCACAGGAAGACGGCAUGGGGUGUACUUUUCCUCCAGCGGCUAGCGACCAGGGCACGGGGACAAGCCUGUCACAAGAGCUGGUAGUGAAUGGAGUCACUGUUGCUGAGCUGGACUCAUCCAGAGGCAAGAGCAACGAGGUUGUCGCCAUGCCCCAGGUGCCGCCCCCUGCCACCAGGUCCUUUUUCUUGUCUCCUGUGGUUGCGAGUCCGGAUGUGCCGAAUGGGGCUUGUGAGGGAGAUGCGGGGAUGGGGAGCAAUGGAGUGGCAAGGGCAGCAGAGGAACCCGGGGAAGGGCAGGAACGAUGCUGCCCUGGUGAGCAGCCCCACAGCAGCCCUGGGCUCUCGCUGGACCUUUCGGCGGCACCCUCUCGGCAUCCGUCUGUCCCUGCCGAGCUCGAGGAAGAGGAGGACGACACGGAUGACAGCGAUGAGUCGGACGAGGAGCUGCGGUGCUACAACAUCCAGGACCAGAGCGAGGAGAGCGAGGAGGAGCUGCCCGCUGUGCCCAUUGUGGUGGCCGAGAGCCACAGCGCCCGCAACCUGCGCAGCCUGCUCAAGAUGCCCAGCCUGCUGGUGGAGACCUUCUGCGAUGACCUCGAACGCAAGAAGAAAGCCGUCUCCUUCAUCGAAGAUGUCACCGUCUACCUCUUUGACCAGGAAAGCCCCACGAAGGAACUGGCAGAGCAUCCUUUCCCGGGAGUAACAGAACCUCCUGUGGCGCCACCUGUGCAUAAGGACAGCAAUGGUUCCCCAAGCCCAGCAGAGAGAACAGAUGCACCCAGCAGUUUGUCGGAAGGGAGCACCUCUGAAGAGAGUAAGGGUAGUGGUUUUGAGUGGGAAGAUGACUUCCCCCUCAUGGCAGUGAAAGCAUCUGUCAUGCCAUCGUUGACGUCGGCGGCACCUGAGCCUGCCCUCCCCGGACUGCCACCCACACUAGUGCCAGCUCAGAAGCAGGUGCUGCCCAUCCAGUUUUCACGCUUCACAGUCUCACCUGCCCCCGUGUCGAGGUUCUCCAUCACACACGUCACUGACUCGGACACCGGUUCUGUAGGAGGAAGCAGUGAAAACAGAGGCGACAGAGAAUGAGCUUAGCCAUGGGCUUGAUUUUGGACUUGCCCCUUACAGCAUCGGUUUCUGCAUCGGGGCUAAGGAGUAAGGACGGAGGCCCAGAACUUGGGUGGAGCAGAGAACUCCAUGGUGGUGCUAUCCUUCCACCCCUUGUGGCUUUUGAAGCCCCAUCCAUUCAUACCACAUGCAGGGAAGGCAAGUAGGUUGUUGCCAAAUGCAGGAUUCUCCCUGGCACCAUGGGAAUGUGAGUUAAGUCUACUAACCAUCCAUCUGCGCUGGUGCGUCUUUUCAAAUUGCCCUCGCCAUACCCUGGUGAGUACAACCAGGGCUUUGUCCGUACUGCCAUUCAGUGGAAAAUGUGUUUCUUUUUUUUGUUCUUAAUACAAUACUUGCUGCAGAAUGUGGUUUCGUAAGAACCUCUUCUUUCACUUGGAAAGAAAAGCAAGUUUCUCGCCAUUAUGAUUGCAAGGAUAAGCCUGAACAAACCUCAGAAGCUGGAGAGGUUACUGGUUCCCUGGUGAGGUUUAGUUGUUGUUGCUGCUGCCGCCGCCGCAGGGCUUCAAUAUCCUCUUUCCUUGCCAUGAAAGGGCAGGGAAGCAGAAUACAGGGAGCAUCAGGGAGAUCUUGCAAAUUCACUUGAUGUAUGCAAUAUAUAGCCUAUGUAGCUUGUCAUACACAGCCCUCUUUCUAUCAGUUUAGGGUGGAAGUUGAACGGUCCAGCUUACCAUGAGGCUUGAGUUUCAUUUUGGGCUUUAUUUUGCUUCCCAACCUUACUGUUUCCUGGCCUCGGUUUUUCCCGUCUGUAAGUGUUGUGGGAGGCCGGUCCCACCAGGGCUAAUAGUUGGCAAACCAGGCUUACUAUGUAAGCUGUAGAGGCAGCUAAGGGUGACUCCAAAGUGCUCCAAGCUCCAAGCAACAUUUGCUCCGAAGAUCAUCCACGGCCAAUAGUGAGACAACACACACUUAUUACCAUAUUCCUACAAGGGCACCUUGCAUUUUAUUUAUUUAAAUUCCAUUUAAAUUGUUAAAAACACCUCUAAGCUGUUUACAUAAAAUACAAAAUGUUAUGUUAAAAGUUAUGAUCGGUAAAAGUCAGGAAUAAGAAGAAAGCAUUACCAGAAGUGGAGGGGAAAGGUACCAUUUCCAGUGUUCGGGGUUUCUGUGCUUAUGCCACUCUAUAGGAUCAGCAGCAGAAUAAAUUAUGCAAAGUAAACAAAUUGUGCAAAGAAAGCAAAUUUGCAUGAUUUAUAUAGGAUGCAGAAUUUACCUUUUUUUAUUUUAAAGCCUGUCGCGCAUUGACUGCCUUAGCGAGCAAGGAGGGCGUAGCAAGAGACCUUCACCCAAGAUGGUUUUAAAGCAGCUUGAGCCUGCUCACGCUUUACACCAGUUUUCGUUGUCCAGCCUCCCCUUCCUCUGUAAGAAGCAGAUGUGGCUCAGAACAGAGCAAUGCUUAAGUGCUUACAGAACAAGCAGAUGAGGCCAUGAAACCUCUCUCCUUUUGAGGAAGUUGCCUACCACCAAUGCUGACUUUGGGCGGUGGAAAUACUGCAAAACAGCAUUUGCUCCAGAGCUGUGCAGCUUUUCAUUUUCUAAACCCCUGAGACAGGUUAAUCUAGAUGCAAUAUCCAGAGCAAAAGUCAGUGGUAGGCAUAAGAUGACAAAACGACAAACCAAUCCCUUUAUCCACAUGGGUGCAAUAUGCCUCUUAUGUAAUGGGAAGAGUUGGCUUUCAUUCCAACAGGGCUGAGUGCUGUUAUUCUCCAACUGGGAGACAUUUGGAUUGGAGGAACAGCAGCCACAGGCAGAAAUGGUACUCCUCCCAGCAUUGAGGUAUAAAACUCCAGGCGAUUCCACAAGGGAAGGUAGGCUUUAUAGGCUGCUGAACACUACUGGCACCUCCAAGCAAGCACACUAGGCAGUGCUAUUUGCAUGGGCCUCAUUUUCACCUAAUAUACUCCGUAUAAUUACCCCACAUUUCUUUCCGUCGUAGGCAGCUGUCGGGCAUGGCACGGGUGCAACUGGGCAUACACAGCUUGCGGUGGUGGUAUCAACAUGGGCUGUUUUUGAGUGGGGUUUCUAUCCGUUACACUUGGGUUCCUUCCACAUUCGGUGAAAUGGGAGAGUGGAAGAUUCACAGACACAAUGAGUUCCGUGGAGCGCAGCUUUGAGGGUGGGAGUGUUGCUAAGUGGCUACAGCGCAGUUCGGCCUCCAAGCCGCGUUCCUUUUGGCACUGCAUUUGAACAAGAAACGCUUAAGGGUGUGUGUGGUCUAUAGCAUCAAAAUGCAUUCAGCACCUGAGAGGCUGCAUGAAGACAGAGCUAUGUUUUGGAUUGUGCUGGUUUUUGUUUUUUUAAAAAGAAAAGAGAGAGAGAGAGGCUAUUUACAGUGUAUAUUUUAUUGAUACGGGUCAUAAUUGCUGUAUUUUUUAUCAGUGCUGAUUUCCAUACAGCUCCCAGCAUGUGUGUCAAAUACCAUUGGUCCAAUAAUAAUAACACUAAAAAUAAAACAUUUUUAAAAUAA